CUCCGCGGGCGUCCAGGUGACAGCCGGGGACCGAGAAUCCGAGGCGGGAGCCUGGAGAGAAAACCGAGACGCCAGGCGGCCUCUGCGGGGGCGGGGUGGGGGGGUCGGCCUCCCCCGCCCAGCCGAGCGGGUCGGGGCCGGGGUCUGCCUCGCCCCGCCGGGCCGCGAGCGGCGCCUGCCCUCCUUCGCGGAGCCGCGGCCUCCGGGGGGCGCCGCGCACCCGCGCCCGAUCCUGCUCCGCUUCCCACGGCUCCUGCCCUGAAUUCGGCCGCUGCAACCCCAGCAGCGGUCGCUGCCCCUGGGACAUUUAUCACCUCCGGCUUCGCGCAGCCCGGCGAGGCCGCCGCAUGAAACCCACUUACGGACCGGCAGACUGAGGCUCCCGCGGCAAGUGGCCGCGGGGACUUGAAUCUGGUUUUGGCUGCACGUCCUCCUGCCUCCCCUGGUCGUCGCCGCCACCUCGGCCCCCACCGCAGAGCGCGUUCCAAGUCUCCAGCGCCCCGGUACCGGUCUUCCCCAGUCCUGUGAGCCCCCGGCUCCCACUCGAGAGAGAGGAAAGGAGAGAGAGAAACGUCGAUGUGAGAGAGAAACGUCGAUUGGCUGCCUCCCGUACACUCCUGGACCAGGGAUCGCAUACAACCAGACCAAGCAUUGAACCUGCAACCUAGGUAAUCAGCUGAUCUUUGAUAAAGGAGCAAAGAUGAUUUAAUGAUGAAAGAAAAACAGCCUUUCAACAAAUGGCGCUGGAAUAGUAACAGGACAUUCACAUAAAAAAAUCUAGACGCAGACCUUACACCCCUCACAGAAUUCAUCCUAAAUGGACCCUAGAUCUAAACAUAAAACACACAAUUAUAGAACUUGUAGAAGACAACAUAAGAGAAAAUCUAAGUGAACUGGGUUGGCCGAUGACUUUUUAGAAACCACCCCAAAAGGACAACCCAUGAAAGAGAUUGUUCUGGAAGCUCACGGUUUGAGAUCAGGUUAUGAGCUGGAUUGUUUUCACCUGAGGACCUUUUCCUUGUCUUGCAGAUACAGGCACGCUGUGAGAUAAAGGGCCUUUAGACUUCAAAGUGUGAGUUUGGAAAGCACAUUGGAGCUCUUAACGCAUGCCCCCGCUUGGCUGGAGAGACCUACACAGAAAUGAGGCUGCAGGUGUCUGCAGUGGGGGAAGGACGCUGGUUAGGUUUACUGCCGGACUUCAAGCACAGACGUGAAGUUUGACCCACCGUCGUUCAUUCACUCGCUCAUUUAACGUUACUUACUGGGUUAGCACCUACUGUGUGCCAGGAGCAGGUCGGCUAGGGGCCGGGGCCAACAAGGCCGGUCCCGCCCUGCCCUUGGAGAGCCUUCUCCCUGACUGAGGGAAAGCUUUCCUCAUUGUGUGCACGUGGUCCCGCAGCUGCGUAACCUGCGGCAGCACAACCCCCUGCACGUGUUUUCCUGGAGCCCACGACCUCCAGGUCCUCCCCAGGUGGGCUGCUUCCCGGCCAGCCGGCUGGCCGCACAGCCCUCCAGCCCUCCAGCCCUCCAGCCCUCCAGCCCUCCAGCCCUCCAGCCCUCCAGCCCGGGGGCUCAGUCUCCCUCCUUCCCCGUGGACUUUUUCAUUUUGCUGGAGUAUGUCCUCUAGUGGAUCCCCGAGCAGGGGAGCGAGGGGGAAGUACGUAUCUGAAUACCGCAUUUCAUGUUUGACAGGUGAUAUGAGUGAGAACAGGAUUCUACAUGGAAAAUUCUUUUCACUCAGAAUUUUGAAGAUAAUCCCCAUUGUUUUCUAGGUCUCCGGAUUAAGGGAAUUUAUACCGUUCAGGCUCGUGAUUCUUUGUACGUGAUCUAUUUUUUCCCCUGUGGAUGCUUUUUUAUUUUUUUAAUCUUUUACCCAGGACAUUCUGAAAGCCAUGAUGGCUUUCCUGUGUGCGCAUGCGUGUGCACGUGUGUGCACGCACGUGUGCAUGUACUGGGCCCUUUCAGUCUGGAGACUAGUCCUCAGUUCGGGGGUGUUUUCUUGUUCUCUCCCUCAGACAGUCACCCUCCUUCUGCGUUCCUCUAUUUUCUUUUUCUGGACCUCCAAUUAAUUGAGGGAAUUUGGCCCUCGGAUUGGCCCUUGACAUUUCUGAUCAAUUCCUCCUCAUUCCCAUCUCUCUUUUUUGUUGGUUUGUGUUUUCCUUCCAGGGACAUUUCCUUGGCUUGUGUCUUCUCUUGAACUUUCUAUUUCCACUGACAGCUUUUAUUUUAGUGGAUUACACCUCAUUCGUUGUUUCUGUAGCAUCCUAUGCUUGCCUUAUGGAUUUCAUGUCAUGUCAUAUCCAAAAACAUUAAUUCAAGUUAGUGUGGGGUCUUUCAUUGGUUUUCUGCAUUUUUUUCAUUUCCUUUUUUUUGUUGUUUUAUUCUCUCUUUUCUGUUAACACAAAGCACUGAAUGUCUGAAUGAAAAUAUCUGUUAAAUCUGGGUGUCAGGUGUGGGAAUCUUUGUUUUCUAUACUUUCCUAUAUGUUAGGAUGAUGUCAUAUGUGCAUGUGCUUUAGGCAGAAUGGAGACUUCAGGCAUGUUCUUCCACCUGGAUGGCAGGAGACCUUCAACACAGAAUGAUCUGCAGCGAGCUGGCCUCGUAGUUGAACUUCCAACCACCCGUGUUGAGUCUCUUCUCUUGGGCCAGGUUUUCCAGAGAAGACCUUCCUGAUCUCCUACCUUUGGUACCUGGGUACCAAAAUCCUGGGGAAGGGGGAAGGAACAAAUCUGAGGGGGCCUCACUUGAGAAGCCACUGUGGACUGAACCCCUCGUUUUUGGUCCUUCGGUGCCUCAUCUCCGCUUUCCCCCGUGUCUGGGGUUCUUGAGCCUGGAGGCUGUGCCAUUCUGUUUCUACACAUAAUAAACAUCUAGGAGGGGCGGUGGCAACUCCAAGCUGCAAGGGGUGGAAAGGGGGGAUCCCAUUAUUUAUUUAAUACAGACUCUCUACCCACCCCCGUUUUUAACCUACCGCCUGCCACAUGUCCAACUUCCCUGUGGUAACUGAUGUCUCUGAAUCCUGGAGCUCUUGGGACUCGGGGAGAAUUUGCCCAGUUUUUAUCAGUGUUCCCCCCUUGACACAGCUAGGCUGUAACUUCUGUCCCACAGCAGUUAGCUCUAUCUGUUUUCCGUGUCCCAUUUUCUUAGAUUUUAUUUAUUUAUUUUUAGAGAGGGGGAAGGGAGGGAGAAAGAGAGGGAGAGAAACAUCGAUCAGCUGAUCAGGAACUGAACUGGUGACCUUUUGGUUCGCAGGCUGGUCCCCAUAAAUUCUUCAUGAUGGGUCUCAGACUGAUGGGCUCGGAGGAAGUGUGAGGUGACACACUGAAGACAUGCAGUUCCCAAGAAUGGUCACAAGGUGGCUCAAGGACUCUGUUUAAUUUACAGUUUCUCCAUACCCAGCCCUGCCAACCUGCAAGAGUUCAGAGUAUUGUGUGUUGGUUAAUCCAGCAGAGGGGAACCCCGGAACCAUAGAGUAUUUACACUGGACUGAGUCUCCAAGGACUUCCUAGUCCACCUCCCAGGACCAGAGAUCCACAGGACCCAACCCAUAUAUCCUGUAUCUGGAGACAGUUGAUAGGAAUAGCCUUGGACUCGAAUGUUAAGGUUCUUUUCCUUAUAUUCGAAGCUGCUUUAAAAUUGGAAUACAAAUGUGAGUGCAUGCAAGUGAGGGUGGGAACAAGGAGGCCAGCACCAUCCCUGCUGACUGUGCUGGACAGAAGGAAGCAGGAAAAAAAAGUCUCUGGCUCACUUACCCUGCGUCCCCAGCUCCCGCAGCAGGGGCGGCCACGCCCUGGGUGCUGUGCAGACACAGAGCACACAGGACAGAGGCCCGCCCACCAGAGUGUACAAUGCAGCGAGUAGAUGAGUCAACAGAAGACAGCCACAAGGAAAGAAGUCUGCAAUGAAUGCCCAACACAAAUGUAGGGCAAAUGUGCUCUUAUCCGUAUGGAGAAGGGAGGGGUCACUUCCCUGCACAGGAGUGGGGAGUAUUCUUGCUGGCGCCUCUCGGGAAGCCCUUGGAAGAACAGUAUGUAACAGCCCUUCUCAAGUUUAACUGUGGAGUCUAAUUCACUAGGGCUGUGCGUGUGUGUGUGCCGAGAUUCUGUGUUUCUAACAAGCACCCAGUUGCCUCCGGUGUGGCUGAUCUGAGGACUGCACUUUGAGUGGCGAGGGUGUAGGCAUUGGUUCAUGAAGUUGGCUGCAAACACGUAUCACACAGGAAGUGAAAAACAAACAAAAAGCAAAAAGCUGCUGACAUGCCAAUCUCACCCUAGAGAUUCUGUAUUAGUUGUGCUGGGGUACAACCUUGGCACUGAUAUUUUUAAAAGCACUUCCCAAGUGACUUUUUUUAAAAUAUUUUUUUUCAAUUACAUUUAACAUAUAUUAGUUUCAGGUGUACACACCAGUGAUUAGAUGUUAUACAACUUACUAAGUGAUCAUCCCAAUAUGCCUAGUACUUGUCUAACACCAUAGUUAUUAGAAUAUCAUUGACUAUAUUCCCUAUGCUGUACUUUACAUCCCCAUGACUGUUCUGUAACAACCAAUUUGUACGUCUUAAUCCCACCACUUUUUUCCCCAUCCUCCCAACCCUCCCCUCAUCUGGCAACUGUCAAAAUGUCCUCUUGUAUUUAUGAGUCUGUUGCUGUUCUGCUUCAUUUGUUUUUUUAGAUUCAUUUAUUAACAUAUG